rnacentral:rRNA from 1 species
AUUGAACGCUGGCGGCAUGCUUUACACGUGCAAGUCGAACGGCAGCGCGGGCUUCGGCCUGGCGGCGAGUGGCGAACGGGUGAGUAAUGCAUCGGAACGUGCCCAGUAGUGGGGGAUAGCCCGGCGAAAGCCGGAUUAAUACCGCAUACGACCUGAGGGUGAAAGCGGGGGAUCGAAAGGCCUCGCGCUAUUGGAGCGGCCGAUGUCGGAUUAGCUAGUUGGUGGGGUAAAGGCUUACCAAGGCGACGAUCCGUAGCUGGUCUGAGAGGACGACCAGCCACACGGGGACUGAGCCAGGGCCCAGACCCCUGGGGGAGGGACGGGGGGGGAAUUUUGGACAAGGGGGGCACCCCGGACCCCGCCGGGCGGGGGGGGGAAAGAGGGCUUUGGGUUGCAAACCCGUUUUUGUUGGGGAAGAAAUCUUGGGGCCUAAUCCCCGGGGGGGAGGGGGGUACGGGAAAAAUAGCCACGGGCUAACUAGGUC